rnacentral:rRNA from 1 species
CAAUAGCGUAUAUUAAAGUUGUUGACAGUUAAAAAGCUCGUAGUUGGAUUUCUGGUGGGGGUGUUUGGCCCGGCUCUAAUGAGUUUUGCGCCUAUACGUCUCCGCCAUCCUUGGGGAAAACUUGCUUGGCAUUAAGUUGUCGAGUUUGGGAUCCCCAUCGUUUACUGUGAAAAAAUUUAGAGUAGUUCAAAGCAGGCUUAUGCCGUUGAAUACAUUAGCAUGGAAUAAUAAGAUAGGACCUUGGUACUAUUUUGUUGGUUUGCGUACCUAGGUAAUGAUUAAUAGGGACAGUUGGGGGUAUUCGUAUUCAAUUGUCAGAGGUGAAAUUCUUGGAUUUAUGGAAGACGAACUACUGCGAAAGCAUUUACCAAGGAUGUUUUCAUUAAUCUAAG